GCUAAUACCGCAUAACGUCGCAAGACCAAAGAGGGGGACCUUCGGGCCUCUUGCCAUCGGAUGUGCCCAGAUGGGAUUAGCUAGUAGGUGGGGUAACGGCUCACCUAGGCGACGAUCCCUAGCUGGUCUGAGAGGAUGACCAGCCACACUGGAACUGAGACACGGUCCAGACUCCUACGGGAGGCAGCAGUGGGGAAUAUUGCACAAUGGGCGCAAGCCUGAUGCAGCCAUGC
rnacentral:rRNA from 1 species